AAGUAGCUUGCUACUUAACCUAGCGGCGGACGGGUGAGUAAUGCUUAGGAAUCUGCCUAUUAGUGGGGGACAACAUCUCGAAAGGGAUGCUAAUACCGCAUACGUCCUACGGGAGAAAGCAGGGGACCUUCGGGCCUUGCGCUAAUAGAUGAGCCUAAGUCGGAUUAGCUAGUUGGUGGGGUAAAGGCCUACCAAGGCGACGAUCUGUAGCGGGUCUGAGAGGAUGAUCCGCCACACUGGGACUGAGACACGGCCCAGACUCCUACGGGAGGCAGCAGUGGGGAAUAUUGGACAAUGGGGGGAACCCUGAUCCAGCCAUGCCGCGUGUGUGAAGAAGGCCUUUUGGUUGUAAAGCACUUUAAGCGAGGAGGAGGCUACCGAGAUUAAUACUCUUGGAUAGUGGACGUUACUCGCAGAAUAAGCACCGGCUAACUCUGUGCCAGCAGCCGCGGUAAUACAGAGGGUGCAAGCGUUAAUCGGAUUUACUGGGCGUAAAGCGCGCGUAGGUGGCCAAUUAAGUCAAAUGUGAAAUCCCCGAGCUUAACUUGGGAAUUGCAUUCGAUACUGGUUGGCUAGAGUAUGGGAGAGGAUGGUAGAAUUCCAGGUGUAGCGGUGAAAUGCGUAGAGAUCUGGAGGAAUACCGAUGGCGAAGGCAGCCAUCUGGCCUAAUACUGACACUGAGGUGCGAAAGCAUGGGGAGCAAACAGGAUUAG
rnacentral:rRNA from 1 species